rnacentral:rRNA from 1 species
GGCUCCUUGUAUUUCAUAAAUAGGGAGUCGGACCUGCCCGGUGAAUUAUUUUUAACGGCCGCGGUACUCUGACCGUGCAAAGGUAGCAUAAUCAUUUGCCUUAUAAUUGAAGGCUUGUAUGAAUGGUUUGACAAGGGUGUAACUGUCUCUUUACAAUUAAAUGGAACUUUAUUUUCAGGUGAAGAAGCCUGUAUAAUAUUGAAAGACAAGAAGACCCUAUCGAGCUUUAAAAAAAUUAAUGAAUUUUAAGUAUUUUGAUACUAUGUAAAGAAUUAUUUGUUAAAAAUUUUAGUUGGGGCGACUGAGGAACAAACAAAGCUUCCUCUAAUUAAAAGACAAUUAGGUAUUGAUCCAAAAAAUUUGAUUAAAAAAUAUAGUUACCGUAGGGAUAACAGCAUUAUCUUUUUUGAGAGCUCUAAUCGAAAAAAAGGUUUGUGACCUCGAUGUUGGACCAGAAUAUCCUGAAGAUGCAGCCGUCUUCAAGGGUUGGUCUGUUCGACCAUUAAAAUUCU